GGAACCCCAUGAUAGAUGGCUUCCUGAACUCCAUUGGUGCCUCCAUGUGCCACAAACACUUUAGUUUGAGGAUGUCCAAGCAGGUCAUUCUGAGGGAGCCAGUCCACAAGUAAGGUAUUGUUACCAAGGGUCACAGGUCGAGGUCCUAUAUAUCUCCAAAUCACUUUUUGAG